AUGGCCCUGCCGGUCUCGCGGCGGCGGCGCGCGACACCACCUCCGCCCAACUGUCUGCCCCCUCCUGCGGUAGCGCCGUCCCCGCCCAACUGUCUGUCCCGUCCCGCGCCCCCAAACCCGUGCCAGGAUCAUGUGGCUGAGCCUCCAUCCGCACGGACGCAGCCGCAACCGUCUGUCUCGUACUUGAGCAUCUUGCUCGGCACUACAACACUCAAGGACACUGCCACUUCCUCAUCCUCCCCACAGGCUGUAGCUGAGACCCCGCCACCCAAGCCAACCAUUUAUGUCAAAGACCCUCCUGAUUGGUACUUCAGUAUUUACAUCAGGAUCGAUCGUUCAGGAUCUUUCCACACAUAUCCUCAUCUCGGUGGACCAUUCAAGAGCUUGCAGGAUGUUGAAAAGGCUAUUGAGCGCUAUCUUGAUGACAAGCGGCAUAAAACGCUGUGGAACGAGCAAGCAGGGGAUUCUGGGAUGGACAUCAUUAUAAAAAGGACCAAUCUAGCUGGCGGCCGGGCGCUAGGUACCGCUCGCGAGCGGCCGGCCCCUGUUUGA
rnacentral:rRNA from 1 species